GGGGUUGUGGCUCAGAGGCAGAGCGCUUGCCUGGCAUGCAUGAGGCACUGGGUUUGAUCCUCAGCACCA
rnacentral:tRNA from 1 species